GGCGGCGUGCCUAAUACAUGCAAGUCGAGCGAACGGACGAGAAGCUUGCUUCUCUGAUGUUAGCGGCGGACGGGUGAGUAACACGUGGAUAACCUACCUAUAAGACUGGGAUAACUUCGGGAAACCGGAGCUAAUACCGGAUAAUAUUUUGAACCGCAUGGUUCAAAAGUGAAAGACGGUCUUGCUGUCACUUAUAGAUGGAUCCGCGCUGCAUUAGCUAGUUGGUAAGGUAACGGCUUACCAAGGCAACGAUGCAUAGCCGACCUGAGAGGGUGAUCGGCCACACUGGAACUGAGACACGGUCCAGACUCCUACGGGAGGCAGCAGUAGGGAAUCUUCCGCAAUGGGCGAAAGCCUGACGGAGCAACGCCGCGUGAGUGAUGAAGGUCUUCGGAUCGUAAAACUCUGUUAUUAGGGAAGAACAUAUGUGUAAGUAACUGUGCACAUCUUGACGGUACCUAAUCAGAAAGCCACGGCUAACUACGUGCCAGCAGCCGCGGUAAUACGUAGGUGGCAAGCGUUAUCCGGAAUUAUUGGGCGUAAAGCGCGCGUAGGCGGUUUUUUAAGUCUGAUGUGAAAGCCCACGGCUCAACCGUGGAGGGUCAUUGGAAACUGGAAAACUUGAGUGCAGAAGAGGAAAGUGGAAUUCCAUGUGUAGCGGUGAAAUGCGCAGAGAUAUGGAGGAACACCAGUGGCGAAGGCGACUUUCUGGUCUGUAACUGACGCUGAUGUGCGAAAGCGUGGGGAUCAAACAGGAUUAGAUACCCUGGUAGUCCACGCCGUAAACGAUGAGUGCUAAGUGUUAGGGGGUUUCCGCCCCUUAGUGCUGCAGCUAACGCAUUAAGCACUCCGCCUGGGGAGUACGACCGCAAGGUUGAAACUCAAAGGAAUUGACGGGGACCCGCACAAGCGGUGGAGCAUGUGGUUUAAUUCGAAGCAACGCGAAGAACCUUACCAAAUCUUGACAUCCUUUGACAACUCUAGAGAUAGAGCCUUCCCCUUCGGGGGACAAAGUGACAGGUGGUGCAUGGUUGUC
rnacentral:rRNA from 1 species